GCAUUGGUGGUUCAGUGGUAGAAUUCUUGCCUUCCAUGCAGGAGACCCUAGUUCAAUUCCCAGCCAAUCG
rnacentral:tRNA from 1 species